UUUUUCUCCUGUGUCACAUAAUCUAGGGUUUGCAGAAAUCUGUACCACUAGAUCCAGAAGCGUGUGUAAUCCUAAAUUUGAAGGAUAUUUAGGCUUUUAGAGGUUUCGAUUUCGUCUCAUUAUCUCGAAUUAGCGUUUGGUUUAUUCGAGAAUUUUGAACAUUUAGGGUUUUGCUGGUUUUGGUUAACCACAAUAUCUUAAUUUGGCUUCUGAGAAUGGGUUUUUCGGGCUUUUAAUUACGUUAGUUUCCCAUUAGUAUGCGUUUGUUUUGGGCCUUUUUCGGUUUGUGAAUUGACCUGGUGCUUCUACAGUUGGUGUUUGAUCUCUGAGAAAUUUUUGGGAGUUUCAGGGUUUUAGGCUAGUUUUGUUUGGCUUUUAAUUGUCUCUAAAUUGGCUUUCUUUGGGUGAAAGUUUUAUUAUAGUUUUGGUUUUAAUGGCGAAGGUGGGUGAAGAGGACGUUGAAUAUGAUAGCGAUCCUGAGGAGGAAAAGCGCAUGCUGGGGAUGAGAAGACGUGAAGCGGCAAGCGACGAUGAGGAAGG
rnacentral:misc_RNA from 1 species